CGCAUCGCCCAGACCGACUGGCCGAUAAUCGCGCCGACCAGCACACCCACCACACUGGCAAGACCAAAGCCGACUGCGACACGCUGAAGCGACGUGAGGACGCGAAGACCGAGCCCGAUGUCCUGCGGUCCGGCGACAAAGAACGGAUCGAUGAUCAGGUCCUUGGCAUCGGCCCAGAUACGGGACGGCGACGGCAGCGUCGCGCCCGGCUUCAUGCAGAGGAUCUGCCAGAUGCCGAAGAUCAGCACGAGCAUAAUGAACGGCGGGAUCACACGGGCCG
rnacentral:misc_RNA from 1 species